rnacentral:rRNA from 1 species
GAUGAACGCUGGCGGCGUGCUUAACACAUGCAAGUCGAACGGGAAUUAUUUUAUUGAAACUUCGGUCGAUUUAAUUUAAUUCUAGUGGCGGACGGGUGAGUAACGCGUGGGUAACCUGCCUUAUACGGGGGGAUAACAGUCAGAAAUGGCUGCUAAUACCGCAUAAGCGCACAGAGCUGCAUGGCUCAGUGUGAACAACUCCGGUGGUAUAAGAUGGACCCGCGUUGGAUUAGCUGGUUGGUGGGGUAACGGCCCACCAAGGCGACGAUCCAUAGCCGGCCUGAGAGGGGGAACGGCCACAUUGGGACUGAGACACGGCCCAGACUCCUACGGGAGGCAGCAGUGGGGAAUAUUGCACAAUGGGGGAAACCCUGAUGCAGCGACGCCGCGUGAAGGAAGAAGUAUCUCGGUAUGUAAACUUCUAUCAGCAGGGAAGAUAGUGACGGUACCUGACUAAGAAGCCCCGGCUAACUACGUG